GAUUGUAAUUCUUCUCUGCAAUCGCGGCUG
rfam:Bacteroides fluxus YIT 12057 genomic scaffold Scfld45, whole genome shotgun sequence.